AUACGGAGGGUCCGAGCGUUAUCCGGAUUUAUUGGGUUUAAAGGGUGCGCAGGCGGCCAUUUAAGUCAGCGGUUAAAUCGUGGGGCUCAACCCCAUUCUGCCGUUGAUACUGGGUGGCUUGAUUGCGGUCGAGGUUGGCGGAAUUCGUUGUGUAGCGGUGAAAUGCAUAGAUAUGACGAAGAACACCGAUUGCGUAGGCAGCUGACCAGACCGCAAAUGACGCUCAUGCACGAAAGUGCGGGGAUCGAACAGGAUUAGAUACCCUGGUAGUCCGCACAGUAAACGAUGAAUACUUGUUUUCGGCGAUAUAAUGUCGGAGGCAAAGCGAAAGCGAUAAGUAUUCCACCUGGGGAGUACGCCGGCAACGGUGAAACUCAAAUGAAUUGACGGGG
rnacentral:rRNA from 1 species